rnacentral:lncRNA from 1 species
UGUCGGGAUUCUUCCGAGAUGGUGUUAGCGAAAUCCGUCGGAGGUCGAUUGUCCGACCGCUCUAUGCCGGCGGCUGUUGCCGGAGGAUGUGGGGCCUGAGAAACUAGAGGCAGAGCCGGAGCCUGAGAUCUGGCCGUGGAGGCCGUGGGUCGCCGUGUGGAUGCUUCGUGAGAAGGCAUCGGGUGAGGAUCUAGCGGGGGAAGGAGGAGAAGAUGCCGAAAAAGAUGAUCGGAGGUGGUCCCAUUGAGCGCUCCUUUAAGAAC